ACACCUCAACUCUCACGGUUCGCCGUGACGAGCUUGGACUUUGGGGGACUUGCUGGCCUACGGUCGGCUCCCCUCAAAUGGAUCAGCUUUCCAGUGUUUGGCGGCGUCACAGGUGUGAUAAAUAUCUACGCUUGUGGUUUUCCACCAGGUAACCUUCAGUGAUGGGGGUUCGCUGGGGCUCAUAAACGUCUCUCCUCGGUGAAGACAGCUUUGUGAAC
rnacentral:misc_RNA from 1 species